rnacentral:rRNA from 1 species
CCUACGGGAGGCUGCAGUGGGGAAUAUUGCACAAUGGGGGAAACCCUGAAGCAGCAACGCCGCGUGGAGGAUGAAGGUUUUCGGAUUGUAAACUCCUUUUGUUAGAGAAGAGAAUGACGGUAGCUAACGAAUAAGCACCGGCUAACGCCGUGCCAGCAGCCGCGGUAAUACGGAGGGUGCAAGCGUUACUCGGAAUCACUGGGCGUAAAGAGCGCGUAGGCGGGAUAGCAAGUCAGAUGUGAAAUCCUAGGGCUUAACCAUAGAACGGCAUUUGAAACUGUUAUUCUAGAGUAUGGGAGCGGUAGGUGCACUUCUUGGUGUAGGGGUCCACUCC